GAUGAAGAACGUAGCGAAAUGCGAUAAGUAAUGUGAAUUGCAGAAUUCAGUGAAUCAUCGAAUCUUUGAACGCACAUUGCGCCCGCCAGUAUUCUGGCGGGCAUGCCUGUCUGAGCGUCAUUUCAACCCUCAUGCCCCUAGGGCGUGGUGUUGGGGAUCGGCCAAAGCCCGCGAGGGACGGCCGGCCCCUAAAUCUAGUGGCGGACCCGUCGUGGCCUCCUCUGCGAAGUAGUGAUAUUCCGCAUCGGAGAGCGACGAGCCCCUGCCGUUAAACCCCCAACUUUCCAAGGUUGACCUCGGAUCAGGUAGGGAUACCCGCUGAACUUAAGCAUAUCAAUAAGCGGAGUA
rnacentral:misc_RNA from 1 species